rnacentral:rRNA from 1 species
GACGAACGCUGGCGGCGUGCUUAACACAUGCAAGUCGAACGGAAAGGCCCUGCUUUUGUGGGGUGCUCGAGUGGCGAACGGGUGAGUAACACGUGAGUAACCUGCCCUUGACUUUGGGAUAACUUCAGGAAACUGGGGCUAAUACCGGAUAGGAGCUCCUGCUGCAUGGUGGGGGUUGGAAAGUUUCGGCGGUUGGGGAUGGACUCGCGGCUUAUCAGCUUGUUGGUGGGGUAGUGGCUUACCAAGGCUUUGACGGGUAGCCGGCCUGAGAGGGUGACCGGCAACAUUGGGAAGGAGAUACGGCCCAGACUCCUACGGGAGGCAGCAGGGGGGAAUAUUGCACAAUGGGCGGAAGCCUGAUGAAGCAACGCCGCGUGCGGGAUGACGGCCUUCGGGUUGUAAACCGCUUUCGCCUGUGACGAAGCGUGAGUGACGGUAAUGGGUAAAGAAGCACCGGCUAACUACGUG